AUGGCCGGGCUUCUCCCCGUCCGUACGGCGUCAGAUACGGUGCCCGCGAGGAGUCGGAGACCUUUUGUAUCGCGGAUCCGGUCGACCGGAGCCUGUGGUGGUGAUUCUCUUCACUGGAAACUGCGCCGGCGAUGGUGGCAGCUCCCGGCGAGGCGACGGUUGUUGGGGCUUCAGUCCCUGUUUGUUUGGGGGACGAGGUUUGCAGCAGUUCUUCAUCCUUUGCGUCUCCGGCGAGCUGGAGUCUUGGUGGAGGCAUGGAGCCAUCCAAUCUGUGGAGAUUAUCCCCGGCCGAUGCGCCCGAACCCGACCUUUGUUCCUGUUCGCUGGACAGGAUCUACAUGCGGCCUCCAAAGCCUUUGA
rnacentral:rRNA from 1 species